GUGAAUAAGAAGAGCAAACUUCAAAUUAUGAACCGGGUCCUGUGCUCUGUGAUGCUGUUUUUAACUCAAGUACAGAUACCCAAACAGCAUGAAGCAGUAACCUGGAUUCACUCCACCACGCUUCAGCCACAUGACUGGGUCAAAUAAGGAUCUGCUCAUCUAUUCAAAGAUUAACAGCAGAAAACGUCCUUGUUUAAGAUCAGCAAUGCAAGACCUUCAUCGCCAGUGACCUUCCAACUCAACAAAGACUGGAUUGUUUUUCCAGACACUGUGAGCUGAAGGCAUCCUUUCACUCUAAGACACAUAACGGAUGAGAAUACAAGCAUUAAUAUAAAUUCCUCACUAAAGAGAGAAGCUGACCUCGUGACUCUCUCACUAGGUCGUCUAAACUGAAUCCUGACUGCCAAAACAGUACCUGUGCACAUCUCCACCAACAUGAAGAAACCGUAAGCCUCUGCCCAGAGGCAGUACACAUUGUCUGCGCAUGGGAAAAUCUCCAGGUAGUGUUGAGAAGCGAGAUGAUUUCUUAGAGCUGUUAAUGCCCAAGGUACAAUCCCCAUAGAGAAAACAUGAUUGCAAAAGAGCCCCUGGAGAGAUCUAACCAGCGUAAGCAUGCUGCUGGGAGACAUUAUGAGCUGGGCCAAGACAGAGCAGCACCACAGCUGCUUUACACUCACCAAGUGAACUCCAGCACUCUGGGAGUCACGAGAGCUGUGGUGGGCCUCCCCCACGCACGGCGAACUCCUCCAUCAAGCACAACUCAGCCUGAGCUGACAUCUGGGCCUUAUGUUUUCAUCUCCUAGGCAGAUAGCUUCCACAACUUUAGAGAUACAACACUCAGGCACUGGAGGUAUACGGUACAGGAGAGAUGCUUCAAUAACACGUGAAGCUGCUGCAAGGAAAAAACAUUGUGUAAAAAGCCAGCAGCCAUCAGAAAUGCUGGAAGAGGGUUGCUUGCUGCGGUUUACAUUCAGCCCAGUAGUAGAGGUCAGGCCAGCUACAGUGCUGAGUAUAAAGGCUGAGGGUGACCAGAGAUCUUUCUAAACGUUUUUCAACAGACAGUAUGUUUCAGCUAAAUACUUUUCUGGAUAAAUCUCUGCUCAUUUGGAAAAAAUAAAAUAAAUUCUUAGGAAAUUCCAAAUCUAAAUGAAGUUGGAUAAAGUGAAUAACUUUACAGUUCCCAGAAAUUCAGUUGCUGAGAAUGAAAAAAACAACAGCAACAAAGUGAUUUUUAUUAAUUUUAUGUAUAAUUAGAAUUCAGAAGAGAUUCUCACCAUGUCUAAGCUGGCGUUCACUUAUCCAGCAACCUUCUGGUUCUGCUCUCCCCACUACAGCCCCUCUUCUCCUUCCACAACCAAGACUGUCAUACAAACUUGUGAAAAGUAGAUGCCAGUGAGACUAAAUAGGGGUUUUCUUCCGAAAAGCCAUAUGUGACAAGAAGUAAUACCGAAAAAAAGCAAUAAAAAUGAGAAAAGAUGGAAAAGCACUUGCUAUGGCCCAGAUUUCCGACAUGCCUUUGCAUCUAUUUGCAGAUCGAAGCACUGCAGCUCCCCAGGUUCCUGUGCAUACAUGCAACUUCCAUUUCUGUAAUUACCAUUUUGAGGAUCUGUGAAGGCACACUGGCACAGCUUCAUCCUCAGAAGUGUAAGCACAAGAAUUUUCUAUUUUUUUUUUUCCCACGGAUUCAAACAGCGAAACUUACAUGAAAGAGAAAAAGGCUUCAAAAUUUGCAGCAGUUUAAAAUAUGCUGAAAGUUUAAAAGUGCCAAUGGUGCUAAAUACUGUUCAGAUGACAAAACAUAAGCAGAGCAACUUACAUGGUUUAGAAAUCUAUACUGUGAGUUUGAGAGAGUGACACAAUCAAAUGCAGCGUGACCUUUUUACCUAUGUCUCAUGUGGAUGAAUGAGCAGAUAGCUUAUAGAAGAUCACACAAAUCUCAUGAUCUUCCAAGUGGUCAGGCUCUCUUUCAGCAUCGUCUACAGCGUCACAUCCUGAGUGAGGUCAGGUCCACAGGGCCAUGCCCUUCCUUGUUCUUUCUUCUGUAAAGCACCUUCUAUCUGCUACCAAACUGCGAGAGGAAAAAGUGAUUGCUUUCUCAGUGGCAAACAGACUGCUCCUGUUGCAAGCAGUAUGAGUUAGAUCCAUGAUAUCAGUGAGUCCCCCCUGGACAGAGAUAUUGAGGGAUAAAGCUCUAAAACAGGAUCAGAGCGGUUAUAUUUGGGGUUACCUUCCCGACAGAGCUCAUGGCAUAAGGUGCAAGAUUAAGGUGUAGACCAGAAUAUACCAACGACAACUUUUGCAUAAGAUUUAUCACCCUCACUUUCCGAAAUCUGCAUUUUUUUUCUGUUGUGGCUUUCUCUAUCAAACAGUAGAACAAAAACACCACCACCCUUUUCUGCUGCUUAGAGUAUAACUACGCCUUUGAGUAUGCUUUCAUUUAAUUCUUAUAGACAGCGCUUUGCAAAGAAUUACCUAGCUUAGCAUUGGGAAGGUGCCAUGUCAGAGUUGCAAAGCAUUUCCACAUGUAGUCAGCAAUGACAGUGGGAUGAAACUCAGCAGCUCCCAACUCACAGCAGCCCCACAUCAAAUGGAAAUAACCAGCAAAGAUGAAAGAGUAGUUAGGAACUCGAGGUUCCAUUUAAGGGAUGUGGAAGAAGAGCUAUAACAUGGCCUACAAAGCUUCAUACAGCCACUCAGACCAUAACUGAAAAAGGUAAAUGACAAGCAAAGACUGACAUUGUCUUUGGGGCACUAAACUCGAUUUCCUUUACUUUAUCAUGUGAGAAUCAAGAGGCCAUCCUGUGACUUAGGAGCCAUGACACACCAGCCAUCACUGCAAAGCAAAAAGAAAAAAAAGAAAAUCAAAGCAACAGAAGCCUGAUUGGAUGUGUGUGUUUCAAAGUAAUUGCUCACAUGUCGGAGGGGACACAUGCUCAGGACAGACUUGGAAUGUGGAAUAGCAGAAGUAUUGCAAAUUGCUGAUGUAACACCGAGAGUACACAUUUCUUAGUUCUGCUAUUACUGAAUAUAUUUUGGUAUCUCUUUGGUAUGAUAAAUUUCAAAGGGGAGACAGCAAAUCCCUGCCAUAAAAGUCAGAUCACCCAGAGCUCACAGACCAGGAGGCAGAGUCAGCAAGUAAUAACUACAGGAAGUUUGUGCACUAACUUGUGCACUUGGUGACAGUGAUGUCAAAGCAGAGAGAUUCUAGCAGCUGAUUUCCACAAGCAUGAGGGGAGAAGUCCCCUCAGAGAGCUGUAUUGCAAACUCUGCUCUUGUACUCCUCUCCCUUCUCUCUUUUUCCAGUGGAGGGAAACAAGUGAGAAAGUUAAAAAAAAAAAACAAAACAAAAAAAACAGGCAGAUAAAACUGGGUCCAGAGUGGAGGCUGAUGAUGAGAAACUGCCAACAGUAAAGAGUUUUAAGGCAUCUAUUAAAACAAGGAGAGAAGGAGGCUAACGCAGAAAAGUAAAAUCAAGUUUGAGGUGUGAAAGUUUGCAUGUCUGUACAUUUAUAUAGAUGAUAUUAGCAGGAUCUAAAAAGAAGAGGAAGCUGAAAAUUUCUGCACACAUUCCAAAGGAUCGCACAUUCCCGAGCUCUGUAGCGUACAAGAGGUUUUGACACUUUUAGCAUCUCCAGCAGCAAAGAAGUUUGCUGUAAGUACUGCAAACUGCUGAAGACCCAGUCAGACAAAUGAGCAAAUGACAGCUGGCUUUCUUAUUAAACAUUAUGUAAAACUUUAACACAUAGGCCUGCCAUAUUAAAUCCUCCUUCAGGAUGCGUGGUUACGUGUGUAAGCCUAAAGCAGCUUUUGCUGGAAGUAAAUGAAGCUAGCAAAUCUAUCCUACAAAUACAUCAGAAAGCCAAAAUACUAAUGAGGCUCCAGCAGAUGCUGCAAUCAGCAACAGCAAUCAUCAGACUGCUUGGCCUUUCUUCCACUCGGGAUGAUUUUCGGACAUAACAAAUUUGGAAAAAGGUGUAAGGAAAAUCUGAAGGGACUUGUCUGCAGCAGUGUAAGUUUUCAGAAGGAAGGGUCCUGGUACACUGGCAAUACAGGGACGGGACUGUUCUUCAUAUGGUUCCCAUCACUCAGGUUUAGAGCAGACAGAAAGGGAAGAGGGAAAGCAAUAGCAAUGCCAGGCACUCAGGAGGUGAACACAGUACUGGGAAACUCCCAUCACUGGAGGAGAAGAAAGCAGGAGGAGUACCCCAGCUCCUUCUUCAGAGUCAGAGGGAAGUAUGGAGAGAAAUACGGAGAGAUCGAAGCUAGGCUAAAAAGGAGAUGAAAAAAAAAUAGAGAUGAAGUUUCUCCAUAUUCAUAAGCAAAGCGGGGAUGGCACAGAUCCCCCCUGGGGAACAGCCAUGAAGGAGCAGGCCAAACUCUCCCCAGCAACCUACCGGAAGCCUGCAUGGCCUCUGGUUGUUCCUUCAAGCAGCAGGAAGGUCUUACGUCUCCUCCUCCUUUUGCUACAGCAGUGUUUAUCUGAACUCAUGAACACGGGUGGCUGAGAAAGAACAGAGCCUCACUCUCCUCAUUUGAAAUUUCUAACUAAAGCCAUAACAGUAUAAAUAUCAACCGGUGUUUUUCAUCUCCAAAUCACAAAACAUUUUAUGGAAGGAAGGUAACCACCUAUUCACAGCUUGUGCACAAAUUAGUAACUGGCUUUUCUAAGGUCAACAAAGCAAGCGAGGAGACAGGAGGAGAGCCCAGCUUCAGGACCACCUUCCUGCUCAGCCAGGGGGGAGGUGAGAACUAAGAACAGACACACAUUCACCACCUCCACAGCAGGUUUUCAUGCCCUUCUGCAUACAGGAAGCAAUCAGAUGUGGCAACAGCAGAGCCAAAUUAAGCAUAAAUUAAGUUUUGAUAUCAAGGAUACACCUUUUGUAGAGAAUUCCUAUUACCAUUUCGCUGAGCAAAUAUUUGAAUGGAGUGAAAUCAAUUGGCAAUCGUCAUGUGUUAUUUGCAAGUGAACACACCAGAUCUUUCUCUGCACCAAGAAAACAAAUAAUCAGACCCCCAAAUUCAUGCACUUUCCCUUUAGAAAGAGCCACAUUGUGUUGUUACAUCAGCAAUUGAAAUAUGACAGGGUGCCUGUGUUUAUACUCAGAGAAGUCAUAUACAGAUUCCAUCUGUUCAACAUUUGGAGCAAAUUUGCAGUGAUUACUCAGGCUGAAAAUUGCUUUGGAGUUUUGUCUGCUGUUGCUUUAUUUGAAAUAAAUCACUGAUGUGGUAUCUCACUUCUGAACAUACUGACGUGCAUGUCAAAGUGAGAAGACAGCAGCAGAACUUUGGCUGUUCUGAUUUUCAAGACAGUCGGGUGUUGACACUCACAGGGUGUUUCUCAUAGGCUGUGAAGAAACCUAAGAGAUGAAGCUGUUGCUGAGGUGAGGAAUUAACUUCUUGAAGUUUCCUGCCUUCCACCAAAGACUCAUUUCACGUUGGACAAAGUCCCUCCCAUGCCAUGGGCUCUAGGCCAGAGCUGCCAAUUGUGAACAUCACUUAGCAUCGCAGAGUCACAGCUGCACUGCUAAAGUGGUUGCCCGGUUGUCUGACAGAAGUCUCAUUUAAGUCAAGGCGCAGAUGAUUCCCAGCCAUUUGGGUUGAUCGGGUGCAGGCUUACAUCCAAGCUUUGAAUCAGCAAUCUCUCUCUGAGCCUGGUACAGCCAAGACUGGAUUUCAACAACCUCAAGGAAAAUUAACGAACAUUGGAGCUUGCUCCAGUUUUGCUGAUUGGGCUCUAAAACACAGUGAUAGAGAGACUGAAUCUCAGUUUCAGUCCUGAUACAGCCGAAGUGGAAACUGCAAAGGAGACAAAUGAAAUUCAGUCAUUCAGGUGCAGUUGAAUAUACUCAGCUGCAACUUCAGGGAAAAGUCGGAGAGGAAGAAUUUAGCUGAUUGGAUUUUUGAGCCAGAAACAACUCCUAUUAAAAUGCCAGAUGUUCAACAGUAGUCACAAAUAAUAAGGGUUAAGCUCUCUAUCACCAUUAUCCAAUCCUUCAAAAUCCUUGUCUAAUGGGGGGCUUUAUAUGUGAAGGUAGGCCAUAUUCUUCCACUGUCCUGCCUAACCUGCGAGAUCUAGCGGAGUAAAGCAAGGUGACUAGCCACCCUAGCUAACAAGUUAGUAGGAUGAGAGAACGAAAGCAUAUAUUGCUCUGAGAGCCGAGAUAUCUCUGGGGGCGGCGAGCGAUGGGGAAUGAGUUGCAGGGAGUUGGUAUGCAUUACCAACCCCUGAUCCUCUGCAAAACUUGUUGACAAUGGUAGUGCAGCCAGGCAGCUUUAGAAGACGAACAGCUUGGCUUGUACAAAAACCUGUUCUCUGGGCACCCACGCCGUGGAAACCAGCAAGCAGUUGGCUUCGCAUGGAUAAAAGGUUAUUUCUAUGGAUGAAACACUCUCAACAAUUAAGGGUAAAGUGGCAAAGUUAGGCAUCAGCUGAGCCCUAGCUGACACCCGAUGACUGCAGUGUGACUUGUGAGACACUAACAGCAUGACACCAUCUGCUUAUGAUUUAUGCUGAACACACUACAUAUAGAAACAGAUGGCAAGUGUCAGAUUUGAUCAGAAUUGUUAUGCUGGUGAUUCCACAGCAUGUUAUAUAGCCCAGAGCCUUACUUUUCCACACAGUUCUAUGAAGUGGAGGGGAUUUCAUAGGAGCUCCAUGUUACUCAGGGAAUCAUUCUUGCUGAAUUUGCAUAGGACUAAGUUCUAUUGUACUGCAGCUGUGAUGGGUCUCUGUUAUCGCACCUGAUGUGUUCAAGAAAGUCAGUCAGAUUCUUAAGUCCAGUGUUCCUAAAAUACAAAUCCAAAGUGUCGUUUACCAAGCUAGCUCUCAACAUUGAACUGUAAACUUACUGAGAUUGCAUUCAAGUUUGCUCUGAAGUGAAUCAUAGACACCAUUGCCCUCCAACACUGCUAUGCUUGCUGUUUUAAGUCUCAGCAUUAGUGUUUUCCUUUAUCCUUUCAUGACUUCAUGUAAAAGUUAGUUUUACGUUUUCAUAACUGUGGAAAAUGCUGAUGAAUGCAAUUCAGACUGAAAAGAGGAGAGACCACACAGACUCCCUGGGCAGUGUAUUCAGAAACUGAAAUGCUAAAAGAACACAAACCGCGUACUGGCAAGCCUGGUUUAUGAUAUUUGACACUAAUACCUAACAUGGAUGCAUUCAAGAAGUCUUCUAGUAUAGAACAGACUACAAGACCAAUUAUCUAUGGACUCGUACUGAAAUAAUACGACGGGAAUCAGACGUCUGCCAUUCAAAUUAAAGCACACACAAUCCUACUGUAGAUAGCAUCAUUCAGACAGAGCCUGUCCUCUCCGGUUCAUUUCCAUAGAGCACACAUUUGUUAGAAGACACAAGCCAAUAAAUAUUACAACAAAAUAGCUGAAAGGAUCGCUACGCAGGAAAACAACUUAAAAUCUAAGCUAAAGAAGAACUUGAGUAUCACUUUGGUUAGAGUGCAGGUACAAAACUAGAAGCUUUAGAAAACCACUGUUAUGAGAAACUUUCAGUCAACUCUCAGAAGCCUGACAGUUUAUCUUAUCUGAUUAUCCAGAGGCAUUCUGCAAGCAGCGCUGCGUUCAAAGCUAAUUCCACUUAAAUAGCAGUGAUCUAGGGUCCUGUAAUGGGUGGGUCAUGACACUGCUGUGAGAAACCACAGCAGCGGAUGGUAACCACGUGAUGGUUUGUCACUGCUCUGCAAGCAUCUGAUCAGGAUUUAAAUGGGUAAAACUAAGGUAACAGUCUUGCUGAAAGACUGAGUGGAACAGAAGCCCCGGUGUUUACUCAACCAUUUACAAACUUGGGUUAGCUCUGCCACAACCAGUGCCAAUGAACAUGGGGAAAGUGGGCAUAAGGGUGGGACACACUUUCCUUCUGCUGCUCACGGCACGUGGAAAUAACCUUGCAGACAAAGCGUAACCACUCACACCUCAAUUUCUGAAUCUGUGAGAAAUAAAACCCCUGUGGAUGACAUCUGAAGCACUACAUACUUCUGUGCUGAUCGGUGAAAACCAGCCUUUCCCAGUGCCAAAGGACACACGGUCACAUAGCUCAGGCAUCAAGGCCUGCAUCAACAAACGUGCCAGACCCUGGAAGGACAGGUAAGAGACACUGGUAUGGAUCAUGCUGUGGGGAAAAUUCUCACCACCGCACAGCAGAAAAAGCUGAAAGGAUUCUGCAAAAUCACCUACCAGUUUGAUUGCAUUGACCCGCUGGGGCAAGAUCCAGUUCUGCACAGCUGAGACUUAGAACUCUGGCUGGACUCCACACAGACACAGCGGGAGCACGGGGCCUGGCAGGCAGGGCACUUGGUAGUGCUGACUGGCAGCUGCUAUCCCAGCAGUCACCAUAGGAACUGAUUUCCAGCUGGAGACGGAGCCAUUGGAAGCAGACACUGGCAAGGAAAAUUUCCCAUGUGCUUAAAGGGAGAAAAGCUGCGGCCUCAGGAUGGAUGCCCUCCCUUUCUGCUGCUUCUGUGCACAGUGCCUCUGCUGGUUUGCUUCUCCCUUUGCAAAGGUUGUGCUGACAGGCAUGGAAAAGAUGCACUGUGCGGUGCUCUUGCAUACACUCUCAGAGCUCUGAACAACACUCCAAAGCACCCUCCCAUUCCUUCAGCAUCAUCCAGUUCCCUCAGUUCAGCUAUGCUGGGCCUGUACACCAGCAAAUAGAAGUGGCUCAGUCCCUGGACACCUGCACAGGACAGCCAGCAUUAGAUGGUAAAAGCUUUUCCUAGCCUUCCCUACACUUGUCGGGCAUCUUGUAGUCAGGUCAGUGGAGCAGAAACUUGAUAAGAAACAGUUUCAUACUUGGCCAAGUGCUGGAGUGGAGAGGAAACGCUUUCAUUUCUUAAUUUUCCCUUAAAAUAAUGUGUACGAUCUGUUCCAGGAACACCCACCCAGUGAAAAUCCCUCCAGAGGCCGCCUGCCAAAGCCUGUGAAAAUCCCUUGUCCGCUAUUUCAGACACAGCCUGUUCAUAGGAACAUAAAUCUGCUGUCCUCACUGAAGAAGAUUAUUCGAGCUGGAUUUAACGUGCCCAGGCACAUCUUUCUUAACUUGGCUAAGACAACCACCUGCUCCUUCACGUGCAUUCGUUGCUCAGUAUAGAUCUCCAAAUAGCAUCACCCAUCCCACUGACAGCAGCUGCAGGGAUGCCCCAUUGCUGCCUCUUCCGCCUGCCCAGCACAGCCCACGCACAUCAUUGGUGCAGAGGAAGCGGCCGCUGCUCUCCACCCUCCCCUGAGUAUUUUACCUUGGGAUGCUGUCCAGCUGAAGCACUAUCUCAGCUUGCCAAACAUGGCACAGAGAACACUUAAUGUUUAGGAAAGAAAGUAAAAAACAGCAUGGCACAAUUCCCACAAAGCACAACAGAGAUGACACCUAUUGAAACUACACCUGUAGAAUGUUGUGAGCGUACAAGACAAUGGGUUUUGUUUGCUGAACUUCUGUCUGGAAGACCAUACUAAGGGCAAAAUUACUAGGUAGAGAAUUCUGAAAUUUAUAGGACCAUUUUCUCCACUAUUGCAAUUCGUAUAGCAUCAGGGCAGGGGAAAGCAGCGGGAAUAAAAGCCAUAUUUUAGCACGUUUUCUGCUGACAGUGAAGUGUUAAAAAUGAAAUAAACCCCUGCAUUUUGGGGGAUGCCAGAACAUCGGCACGCAGAGACUUGGCAUGGCACAAUACUCUUUUCACCCAUAAACAUGUAAGAGUGCCGCUGACCGCCAGCAAUUCAAAGCUCGCUGCCACUUCAACAUCCUGCUGGCACCAACUCCACCUGCUGGAAACAACCCAGCACCCGAAGUGAUUUCAAGUUUACUGACUGCAGCUUUUUAUUGGAGAACUUAGCUCUACUAAUAUCCUCAGCACGCUAUUUCUCACUUUUGCUCCAGAAUCAACCAUUUCUUGGUGCUUUACUCUCUUAAAUCUUUCUGAAUCAUCUGAUCAGAAGUCAAUCACUGCUCUGAUGCAAAGAUUUGACUGUUAAUGCUCUGUAUACAUCAUCGUUCUUCCCUUUAACCACGUACACCAGAAAAAGAAGAGCAGCAAAAAUAGAAAGUUCAUCCUAUGCUCUUCAGUUUAUAUAAGGAUUCAUUCAAACUGAAUUAGUUACCUAGUUUGAUAUAAAGAAGAUUAAAUAAUUACAAAUAAUCAUUUCUUUUUUGCAUUUCACUACAAGUAUUAAACCUCUAUUCAUAUUCUCAGUUCCCUACUAAGGGAUGAUCAGAUACCCACAUUACCAUUGCCUUACAGCAAGUACUCGGCACAUGGAGAAUUUCACAUGGUCUUUCAAGUUUUAAAUCCACUACGUAGAACACUCAGGAGUUUGAGGUGCAACAAUCUUUUGCAAGAUAUUCAGCUUCAGUUUAAAAUUCAACCCAGUGGGAAAACUACCCUGUCAACUGCUAUUGCAUUCAGCUGUUAAUUACCUUCACUGUUAACGUUUUGCAUCUUACCUCCAGUGCGAUUUCAUUUCCAAGAGAUUAUGGGCUAUUAUCAUCCCUUCAGCUGACAAGCCAAGCACACUUUAUUAGAAGUGUCACGAUGUGGAUGUUUAUUAGCUGAAUAAAUUAUCACUUAACCUUC